rnacentral:rRNA from 1 species
CCUACGGGUGGCAGCAGUGAGGAAUAUUGGUCAAUGGACGAGAGUCUGAACCAGCCAAGUAGCGUGAAGGAUGACUGCCCUAUGGGUUGUAAACUUCUUUUAUAUGGGAAUAAAACGUUCCACGUGUGGGAUUUUGUAUGUACCAUAUGAAUAAGGAUCGGCUAACUCCGUGCCAGCAGCCGCGGUAAUACGGAGGAUCCGAGCGUUAUCCGGAUUUAUUGGGUUUAAAGGGAGCGUAGGUGGAUUGUUAAGUCAGUUGUGAAAGUUUGCGGCUCAACCGUAAAAUUGCAGUUGAUACUGGCAGUCUUGAGUACAGUAGAGGUGGGCGGAAUGCGUGGUGUAGCGGUGAAAUGCUUAGAGAUCAGGAAGAACUCCGAUUGCGAAGGCAGUUCACUGGACUGCAACUGACACUGAGGCUCGAAAGUGUGGGUAUCAAACAGGAUUAGAUACCCUGGUAGUC